rnacentral:rRNA from 1 species
AUUGAACGCUGGCGGCAUGCCUUACACAUGCAAGUCGAACGGUAACAGGUUAAGCUGGCGAGUGGCUCACGUGGGAGUAAUGUAUCGGAACGUGCCCAGUCGUGGGCUAUAACUUGGCGAAAGAUCAGCUAAUACCGCAUACUACCUGAGGGUGAAACCGGGGGAUCGGAAGGGCUUGCGCAAUUGGAGCGGCCGAGAUUGGAUUAGGUAGUUGUUGAGGUAAAGGCUGACCAGGCCGACUACCUGUAGCUGGUCUGAGAGGACGACCAGCCACACUGGGGCUGGGACACGGACCAGACUCCUGCGGGAGGCAGCAGUGGGGAAUGUUGGACAAUGGGCGCAAGCCUGAUCCAGCCAUGCCGCGUGCGGGAAGAAGGCCUUCGGGUUGUGAAGCGCUUUUGUCAGGGAAGAAAAGGUUCUGGCUAAUACCUGGGACUCAUGACGGUACCUGAUGAAUAAGCACCGGCUAACUACGUG